UACAGAGGUCUCAAGCGUUGUUCGGAUUCAUUGGGCGUAAAGGGCGCGUAGGCGGUGCGGUAAGUCACCUGUGAAACCUCUAGGCUUAACCUAGAGCCUGCAGGCGAAACUGCCGUGCUUGAGGGUGGGAGAGGUGCGUGGAAUUCCCGGUGUAGCGGGUGAAAUGCGCAGAUAUCAGGAGGAACACCAAUGGCGAAGGCAGCUCACUGGGACGGUACUGACGCUGAGACGCGAAAGCGUGGGGAGCAAACAGG
rnacentral:rRNA from 1 species